rnacentral:rRNA from 1 species
UCCCGACGCUCCGAGUCGCAGCCACAAUUAUUGGGUCUAAAACAUUCGUAGCUUGUUCGUUAAGUUCUUUGUGAAAUCUUACAUCUUAAGUGUAAGGCGUGCAAGGAAUACUGGCGAGCUUGGGACCGGAAGAAGUAAAGAGUAUGCUCGAGGUAGUGGUAAAAUAUGUUAAUCUGGAGCAGACUAACAACAGCGAAGGCACUUUACUAGUACGGAUCUGACAGUGAGGAAUGAAGGCUAGGGGC